CGCCUGGGGAGUACGGCCGCAAGGUUAAAACUCAAAUGAAUUGACGGGGGCCCGCACAAGCGGUGGAGCAUGUGGUUUAAUUCGACGCAACGCGAAGAACCUUACCUGGCCUUGACAUGCAGAGAACUUUCCAGAGAUGGAUUGGUGCCUUCGGGAACUCUGACACAGGUGCUGCAUGGCCGUCGUCAGCUCGUGUCGUGAGAUGUUGGGUUAAGUCCCGUAACGAGCGCAACCCCUAUCCCUAGUUGCUAGCAGUUCGGCUGAGAACUCUAGGGAGACUGCCGGUGACAAACCGGAGGAAGGUGGGGAUGACGUCAGGUCAUCAUGGCCCUUACGGCCAGGGCUACACACGUGCUACAAUGGUGCGUACAGAGGGCUGCAAACCCGCGAGGGGGAGCUAAUCUCACAAAACGCAUCGUAGUCCGGAUCGGAGUCUGCAACUCGACUCCGUGAAGUCGGAAUCGCUAGUAAUCGCGAAUCAGAAUGUCGCGGUGAAUACGUUCCCGGGCCCUGUACACACCGCCCGUCACACCAUGGGAGUGGAUUGCACCAGAAGUGGUUAGUCUAACCUUCGGGAGGACGAUCACCACGGUGUGGUUCAUGACUGGGGUGAAGUCGUAACAAGGUAACCGUA
rnacentral:rRNA from 1 species